GUAGGGAAUAUUGGGCAAUGGGGGAAACCCUGACCCAGCAACGCCGCGUGAGGGAAGAAGGCCUAACGGUUGUAAACCUCUGUCAUAUGGGAAGAAGGAAUGACAGUACCAUAUGAGGAAGCUCCGGCUAACUACGUGCCAGCAGCCGCGGUAAUACGUAGGGAGCAAGCGUUGUCCGGAAUUACUGGGCGUAAAGGGUGCGUAGGCGGCAUGUUAAGUUAGAUGUCAAAUACCCGGGCUUAACACGGGGACGCAUCUAAAACUGGCGUGCUUGAGGGCAGGAGAGGAGAGCGGACUUCCGAGUGUAGCGGUGUAAUGCGUAGAUAUUAGGAGGAACACCAGUGGCGAGGGCGGCUUUCUGGACUGUAACUGACGCUGAAGCACGAAAGCGUGGGGAGCAAACAGGAUUAGAAACCCGGGUAGUCC
rnacentral:rRNA from 1 species